rnacentral:rRNA from 1 species
UGAAUCCACGGGGGCAGCAGUGGGGAAUAUUGCACAAUGGGGGAAACCCUGAUGCAGCAACGCCGCGUGAAGGAAGACGGUUUUCGGAUUGUAAACUUCUGUUCUUAGUGAAGAAAAAUGACGGUAGCUAAGGAGCAAGCCACGGCUAACUACGUGCCAGCAACCGCGGUAAUACGUAGGUGGCAAGCGUUGUCUGGAGUUACUGGGUGUAAAGGGAGCGCAGGCGGGAAGCCAAGUCAGCUGUGAAAACUACGGGCUUAACUUGUAGACUGCAGUUGAAACUGGUUUUCUUG